UACGUAGGGCGCAAGCGUGUCCGGAAUUAUUGGGCGUAAAGAGCUCGUAGGCGGUCUGUCGCGUCGGCUGUGAAAACCCGAGGCUCAACCUCGGGCCUGCAGUCGAUACGGGCAGGCUAGAGUUCGGUAGGGGAGACUGGAAUCCUGGUGUAGCGGUGAAAUGCGCAGAUAUCAGGAGGAACACCGGUGGCGAAGGCGGG
rnacentral:rRNA from 1 species